CGGCAGGCCUAACACAUGCAAGUCGAGCGGAUGAGUGGAGCUUGCUCCAUGAUUCAGCGGCGGACGGGUGAGUAAUGCCUAGGAAUCUGCCUGGUAGUGGGGGACAACGUUUCGAAAGGAACGCUAAGUACCGCAUACGUCCUACGGGAGAAAGCAGGGGACCUUCGGGCCUUGCGCUAUCAGAUGAGCCUAGGUCGGAUUAGCUAGUUGGUGGGGUAAAGGCCUACCAAGGCGACGAUCCGUAACUGGUCUGAG
rnacentral:rRNA from 1 species